rnacentral:rRNA from 1 species
CCUACGGGGGGCAGCAGUGGGGAAUAUUGCACAAUGGGGGAAACCCUGAUCCAGCAACGCCGCGUGAGUGAAGAAGUAUUUCGGUAUGUAAAGCUCUAUCAGCAGGGAAGAAAAUGACGGUACCUCAUUAAGAAUCCCCCGCUAACUACGUUCAAGCAGCCGCGGUAAUACGUAGGGGGGAAGCGUUAUCCGGAUUUAUUGGGGGUAAAGGGAGCGUAGACGGCGAUGCAAGUCUGAAGUGAAAGCCCGGGGCGCAACCCCGGGACUGCUUUUGAAACUGUAUGGCUGGAGUACUGGAGAGGCAAGCGGAAUUCCUAGUGUAGCGGUGAAAUGCGUAGAUAUUAGGAAGAACACCAGUGGCGAAGGCGGCUUGCUGGACAGCAACUGACGUUGAGGCGCGAAAGCGUGGGGAGCAAACAGGAUUAGAUACCCCUGUAGUC